rnacentral:rRNA from 1 species
CCUACGGGUGGCUGCAGUGAGGAAUAUUGGUCAAUGGGCGUAAGCCUGAACCAGCCAAGUCGCGUGAGGGAUGAAGGUUCUAUGGAUCGUAAACCUCUUUUAUAAGGGAAUAAAGUGUGGGACGUGUCCUAUUUUGUAUGUACCUUAUGAAUAAGGAUCGGCUAACUCCGUUCCAGCAGCUGCGUUAAUACGGAGGAGCCGAGCUUUAUCCGGAUUUAUUGGGUUUAAAGGGUGCGUAGGCGGCCUUUUAAGUCAGCGGUGAAAGUCUGUGGCGCAACCAUAGAAUUGCCGUUGAAACUGGGGGGCUUGAGUAUGUUUGAGGCAGGGGGAAUGCGUGGUGUAGCGGUGAAAUGCUUAGAUAUCACGCAGAACCCCGAUUGCGAAGGCAGCCUGCCAAGCCAUGACUGACGCUGAUGCACGAAAGCGUGGGGAUCAAACAGGAUUAGAUACCCGUGUAGUC